rnacentral:rRNA from 1 species
AUAUCAGUCAUGCAUAGCAUAUCAAUAAGCGGAGGAAAAGAAACUAACAAGGAUUCCCUUAGUAACGGCGAGUGAAGCGGGAAGAGCUCAAAUUUGAAAUCUUCAAGGUUUUACCUUGACGAAUUGUAGCUUUAAAGAAGUGUUUUCUGUUGAAGUUUUGGUAAAAGUUCUUUGGAAUAGGACAUCAUAGAGGGUGAGAAUCCCGUAUUUGACCAUUACUUUCAGCUUUGUGAUACACUUUCAAAGAGUCGGAUUGUUUGGGAAUGCAGUCCAAAAUGGGUGGUAAAUUUCAUCUAAAGCUAAAUAUUGGCGAGAGACCGAUAGCGAACAAGUACCGUGAGGGAAAGAUGAAAAGAACUUUGAAAAGAGAGUUUAAACAGUACGUGAAAUUGUCAAAAGGGAAGCGUUUGACACCAGUGUUGUUUUCUCGAAAAUCAAUUAAAAAGAGUUGGAUUUUGUGUUGUAUUGACUUUAUCAGCUUUCUUCACUCUUUUCCAGCUUUUUUUAAUGCACUUUUCGUUUAACAAGUCAACAUCAGUUUCUUUUGUUGUAAAAAGGUCAUUGGAAGGUGGCUUUCUCUUCGGAGAAAGUGUUUAUAGCCUUUGACUCAUGCAAUCGGAGAGACUGAAGGUCUGCAGCGUAGAUCCUUCGGGGUUAGAUACAUUUGUGCUAAGUUAUAGCUUUUUCAUAGACAACUUGUUGACUAUGUUUAGUCUUGUAGCUUACUCGCUUAUGCUAUUUUACCUACGCUUAGGAUGUUAAACUCUAUCACACACA